GGCCUGAGUGAAGGGUGGGGGGGGGAGUGGAAGAUUAACCAGGGCAACCUGAGAUCCUGGUGGGAAUCCCUCUGUCCUCCUGCUCAUCGCUCAUGGAAGCUUCCACGCUGACUCGAAAGCAGGAGGGGGAAGGAGCAUUUGGCAAACAAUGGCUGUGUCUUCAGCCCACUGUUUCAUAUCUGAAAUCUCCUAAUUAUCUCUGUGCCCUGAUACCGCGUCUUUAAAUGCUACUCCAUUCAAGCAGGUGCAUGGCCUCUGCAGGAGUAGAUGGUUCCAGAGUUGGACACCAGAGAGAGGACUUCCCUGGGGUAUCCUAGCAAGUGCUGGCAGGUGCUAUAGGCUGGUUUACGGAGAAGAAGGGAGACAAGGAACCGUGAGCUGCCAAGAUGAAAAUGACAGCUGUUAGAAAACCGAAAUCCCACUGAGUAAAAUUGAAGAUCUAAUUGGCUUUAUUCAAUGAUUCAUGAAUCAGGCAGCAUCCUCUGUUGUAAAUAGAAAGAAACCGAUGGGUUGUUAAAAUAAAUAAAUAAAUAAAUAAUAAAAGGAAGGUUUUUAUAGGCAGAAGGAGUGUGGGGCAAGGGAGCUAUUAACAAAAGCUAAGAAAAGACUGUUUCAUGCCCAGUCACCUUCUUUUGGGAGCAGGGCAAGGGUCACUCAUGUGGACUGCUUCCUCCUCCCCGAUGGAGAGGGCCCAGGAGACAGAUUACCUCCUGGGUACUGACCAGAAAAUUCCACACUGGCUGAUUAAGACCACAUUCCUGGGGAAGGUCAAAAUUACAGGUAGGUCAGGUAUUACAUCUAGGUUUGGUAUCAUGGGCUUUGGCAAAAGUGAUGCCAUUUCGAGCCUGUAGUUUUCUUUUAACUAUUCACCACUUUUGAGCUAAAUCUCAGCCUAACCAAGAGAUGGCAUCAGAAUUUAAGACAUUAUCAUCACCCUCGUCUUCUGACCUAUAGUCCCCACAGCUUCGUUGACCGUUGGUGUGGUAUCCAGAGGUCGUGACGUUUUUGCUUAAUUCUCACGACAUUUGUAACUGAAGAGGACCCUAUGGGGGCUUCUGGGAACAGCUGCAACCACCCCAUGUCUGUAGCAAAACUUUAGCCUCCUAGGCCUUCCCCAAGUUCCAAGGAAUAAAUUUAAUCAGAGAAAUGAGAAAAGGCAGAAGCAAAGGAAAACAGUCAAGCAAGACAAAAUAAAAAUAGUUUAGCCACUAAACACAGUCAAGGACCUUUAAUUCCUCCUCAAGGGCUAGAGAUAAUAUUCUGAGCCACAUCCUUUGAGCUGUUUUACAGCUAUUGAAACCUGCACGAGGUGGAAGAAGUUCACUGCCUGCUGUCCACAAGCACGUAGACGCCAGACUGGUUGGAACCACAAGGUUGAUGGUGUUGACUCCCGAUUACCUCGCCACCAGCCAAUCAGAAGAUGUCAAUGCCAGAGGAAAGGAGAGGAAAAGAAGGAGAAAGGGUUUCAUGUUUAGUUAAAGUAUGAAGUCUUGAUCGAUCAUCUCAGGCAGAAGCUGUCUUCCUGAAUGUCAGCGACUUCUCUUCCUCACCAGUUUGAUUCGGAGGUCUCCAGCCCUUGUACAGGACCAGGCGUUAGUGUCGAUCUCAGCCGACGUAGUGAUGCUGUUUGGGAACACCUGUGGGCACCCAUGUGGGCCUUUACCUUUCAUGGAAGCCCCACAGGCCUUUCCCCAGCUGGAGCCAAUGCUGUGGCUGCACACGCCCUUCUGCUUCUUUUUUUUUUUUUUUUUUUUUUGGUACGCGGGCCUCUCCCU